AUUGAACGCUGGCGGCAGGCUUAACACAUGCAAGUCGAACGAGUGGCGGACGGGUGAGUAAUGCUUGGGAAUCUGGCUUAUGGAGGGGGAUAACUACGGGAAACUGUAGCUAAUACCGCAUACCAUCGGAUGAGCCCAUGUGGGAUUAGGUAGUGGGUGAGGUAACGGCUCACCAAGCCGACGAUCUCUAGCUGGUCUGAGAGGAUGACCAGCCACACUGGGACUGAGACACGGCCCAGACUCCUACGGGAGGCAGCAGUGGGGAAUAUUGCGCAAUGGGGGCAACCUGAUGCAGCCAUGCCGCGUGAAUGAAGAAGGCCUUCGGGUUGUAAAGUACUUUCGGUAGCGAGGCGUUAACUACAGAAGAAGCACCGGCUAACUCCGUGCCAGCCGCCGCGGUAAUAC
rnacentral:rRNA from 1 species